GGAAUAUUCUAAUCAUUCAAUUAAAAGACAAUUCUCACCUAUCACAAACAUAGUCUACUUAAACUAAUAACACACUUAAAACGAUACGUUUUCAUGUCUCUGUGUAACACAGCGUGUAAACAUUCACAGUGCAGGGUGGGAAAAGUAGGUGAACCCUUGGAUUUAAUAACUGGUUGACCCUCCUUUGGCAGCAACAACAUCAACCAAAUGUUUUCUGUAGUUGCAGAUCAGACCGGCGCAACAGUCAGGAGGAAUGUCCUCUUUACAAAACUGUUUCAGUUCAGUUCAAAUUCUUAGGAUGUCUGGUGUGAACGGCUCUCUUGAGGUCGUCCCACAGCAUCUCAAUCGGGUUGAGGUCAGGACUGGGUCACUCCAGAAGGCGUAUUGUCUUCUGUUGAAGCCAUUCUGUUGUUGAUUUACUUCUGCGUUUCCUGUUGCAUCACCCAACAUCUGUAGAGCUUCAAUAGGCGGACAGAUAGCCCAACAUUCUCCUGCAAAAUGUCUUGAUAAUCUUUGGGAAGAAUUGGUGUGCUGUGCCUUUUUUUCUCUCCACACAUAGUGUUGUGUGUUCCUUCAAAACAACUUCAUUUGAGUUUUAUUUGUCCACAGAAUAUUUUGACAGUAGCGCUGUGGAACAUCCAGGUGCACUUUUGCGAACUUCAAAAUUAGUUUUUUUUUGGACAGCGGUGGCUUCUUCCCUGAACACCAUUCUUGUUUUAGUGUUUUACAUAUCGUAGACUCGUCAACAGAGAUGUUAGCAUGUUCCAGAGAUUUAUGUAAGUGUUCAGCUGACACUAGGAUUCUUCUUUACCUCAUUGAGCAUUCUGCGCUGUGCUCUUGCAGUCAUCUUUGCAGGACGUUAACUAACCUUUUAAUUAAAACCCGGACAACGCUGAGCCAAUUGUGCGCGGAGCUAUGGGACUCCCAAUCACGGCCGGAUGUGAUACAGCCUGGAUCCAAACCAGGGACUGUAGUGACGUCUCUUGCGCUGAGAUGCAGUGCCUUAGACAGCUGCGCCACUCGGGGAGACCCAUAACAG
ensembl:lncRNA